rnacentral:rRNA from 1 species
GACAGAGGGUGCAAACGUUGUUCGGAAUUACUGGGCGUAAAGCGAGUGUAGGCGGUCUGCUAAGUCGGGUGUGAAAGCCCUGGGCUCAACCCAGGAAGUGCACUCGAAACUGGCAGGCUAGAGUACUGGAGAGGUUGGUGGAAUUCUCGGUGUAGAGGUGAAAUUCGUAGAUAUCGGGAGGAACACCAGUGGCGAAGGCGGUUACCUGGAGCUUUGCUGACGCUGAUGCGCGAAAGCGUGGGGAGCGAUCCGG